GUCUGCCAGGUGCGGUGGCUAAGCCUGGGGACAUCUGAAGCCGGUGCCAACCAUCAGGGCCGAGUUGCGACGAGAGAGUGUGUCUAUGUUAAAAUAUUAAGCCGAGUUGGCCAGGUCCCUAAGUCUUGGAUGGCGAGCUGUAGAUAGGCCUUGAGCCCGAGCCCAAGGAUCUCCACCUCUCAACCCCUGAACUCCACCUGCUCUGGUCUGGCUGGUAGGCGGCUUAUAGCCGGUCCCUUUGCCUCGCACCUCAUUACUCUGCGGCCCUUUGCACUACCUCAUACACACCCUGCCCAUAAACUGAACUCUCACUACAAACUGCCAUAUC